rnacentral:rRNA from 1 species
AUUGAACGCUGGCGGAAUGCUUUACACAUGCAAGUCGAACGGCAGCACGGGGGCAGCCCUGGUGGCGAGUGGCGAACGGGUGAGUAAUACAUCGGAACGUGCCCGGUCGUGGGGGAUAACGUAGCGAAAGUUACGCUAAUACCGCAUACGAUCUGAGGAUGAAAGCGGGGGACCUUCGGGCCUCGCGCGAUCGGAGCGGCCGAUGUCAGAUUAGGUAGUUGGUGGGGUAAAGGCCUACCAAGCCGACGAUCUGUAGCUGGUCUGAGAGGACGACCAGCCACACUGGGACUGAGACACGGCCCAGACUCCUACGGGAGGCAGCAGUGGGGAAUUUUGGACAAUGGGCGCAAGCCUGAUCCAGCCAUUCCGCGUGCAGGACGAAGGCCUUCGAGUUGUAAACUGCUUUUGUACGGAACGAAAAGGCUCUGGCUAAUACCUGGGGCUCAUGACGGUACCGUAAGAAUAAGCACCGGCUAACUACGUG